UACGGAGGGUGCAAGCGUUAUCCGGAUUCACUGGGUUUAAAGGGUGCGUAGGUGGGUCUGUAAGUCCGUGGUGAAAUCUCCAAGCUUAACUUGGAAACUGCCGUGGAUACUGGGUGUCUCGAGUGUGGUAGGGGUAUGCGGAACUAUCGGUGGAGCGGUGAAAUGCGUUGAUAUCGAUAGGAACUCCGGUGGCGAAGGCGGCAUACUGGACCACUACUGACGCUGAUGCGCGAAAGCCAGGGAGCAAAGCGGG
rnacentral:rRNA from 1 species